UCCUUUUUAUCACGCAUAGAAUGAAUAAAUAAAGGGAACUGGCCUGGGACUUAGUACUUAGAAGUGAAAGCCCAAGGUAGUUUCCUUCCUUUCUUCCUUCUUCUUUCCUCUUCUCCUUUCAUUUUCUUUCUCUUGUUUCAGUUUCAGGUAAGUUUAGAUUUUGUCCCACGAGGUUCAAUAAUCAUAGGGCCCAGAGGACUAAAAAAAAUUGUAGUAGUUGGUAUGCACCAGAUUCUCUUCAGAAAAUGCAGUGCCCAGAAAUAGUUGCCCUGACUGGCGAACUUCUACUUCCCUUUAACAUUUUUUUUUGGCUUGUUUUUUGCAUCAGGCAAGGAGAACUAUAGUACCUCUUGGGUUUCCCCCUCUGACACCUUACUGCUGGACCCUGACGUGGCUAUUCCCUCCCUUCUUCAUGACUUCUGAACGCUUGAAAAUGUUUAUAAAAUGUCAUGCUUCCUGUAGGGUUUUCUCCCCCUUGUAUUUAGCUCUGGUUUUCUAUAAGCUCCUUGAGGACAGGGAAUGGACAUCUGCGUAUCCCCGCCUUUAUGUGUUAGAGAAGUGAAAACUGAAGCCUGAUUGGAGAUGAACUUCCUCUGAGCAAGGACCCUGUAUUCUACUUCUUUGCCUUCAUCGUAGCACCUAUGAAGGACAAAGGAAGGAAAGAGGAGUGGAGGGAAGGAGAAAGAAGGUAGGGCAAGGGGGAGGAAGGGAGAAGGUGGGAAAUCAGCAUUUAAGCAUGAAAAGUACCAGCUUUUAAGAAAAUGCUACCUCACUUAAUCUUGACAGUGCACGUGUGAGACAAAUUGCAGAGGAUAAGACUGGAGCCCAGGAAGGUACAGUCACUUGUCCGAGCUCCCACAGCGCAUGCAAAGCAGAAUGAGAAACAGAAACAAGAUCUGUGAAGCUGAGCUCCAAGCUGGAAGAGACUGGGGCCUGACGUGAUUUGAGGUUGCCUGCCCCCUCUUAGAAGGCUGAUUGGAGAGCAUUCUGCACCCAGCAACACUCCCUACUCCCUGGAGAGCACAGAGGGAGCUGAUGUCCCACAAGGCACUGCAUUCUUUCACCCAGCAAAUAUUUAUGGAGCAUCCACCCAUUUCCAGGCACCAUCUUGGAAGAGAUUCAGCCGCAACCAAGGCAGAGUCUCUUUUCUGAAAGGAGCUUACAUCGUAGUUGGAAACACAGACAAUGAGCAAGUAAACAAAUAUUUAAUGUAUUUUCAGGUUAUUUAAUUACAUCCUCAAAACAACCUCAUGGCAGGUAUUAUAAGCCCAUUUUACACACACAGAAACACUGAAGUGUGGAUAAUGAAGUUACCUGCCCAAAGUCACAUGAGAAAUUUGAAUGCGCCCCAGCCUGUGGUCUUUGUAAGAUCCAAUGAAGCUUUUUAUUGUUAGCCCAGAGGCAGUAGACUGUGAAGCUAUGAAGCUGAAGCUCCAGGGCUACUCACUUGCAUGGACACUUUUUCAAGUCACUUUGGACCUAACUUUUUUUUUUUUGGUACGCGGGCCUCUCACUGUUGUGGCCUC